rnacentral:rRNA from 1 species
CAGCCGCCGCGGGAAAACAGAGGGUGCGAGCGUUAAUCGGAAUUACUGGGCGUAAAGCGUGCGCAGGCGGUUCGUUAAGACAGAUGUGAAAUCCCCGGGCUUAACCUGGGAACUGCAUUUGUGACUGACGGGCUAGAGUAUGGCAGAGGGGGGUAGAAUUCCACGUGUAGCAGUGAAAUGCGUAGAGAUGUGGAGGAAUACCGAUGGCGAAGGCAGCCCCCUGGGCCAAUACUGACGCUCAUGCACGAAAGCGUGGGGAGCAAACAGGAUUAGAUACCCGCGUAGUCCCUGUCUCUUAUAC